rnacentral:rRNA from 1 species
CCUACGGGAGGCAGCAGUGGGGAAUAUUGCACAAUGGGCGCAAGCCUGAUGCAGCAACGCCGCGUGAGGGACGACGGCCUUCGGGUUGUAAACCUCUUUUAGUAGGGAAGAAGCGAAAGUGACGGUGCCUGCAGAAAAAGCACCGGCUAACUACGUGCCAGCAGCCGCGGUAAUACGUAGGGUGCAAGCGUUAUCCGGAAUUAUUGGGCGUAAAGAGCUCGUAGGCGGUUUGUCGCGUCUGCUGUGAAAACUGGAGGCUCAACCUCCGGCCUGCAGUGGGUACGGGCAGACUAGAGUGCGGUAGGGGAGAUUGGAAUUCCUGGUGUAGCGGUGGAAUGCGCAGAUAUCAGGAGGAACACCGAUGGCGAAGGCAGAUCUCUGGGCCGUAACUGACGCUGAGGAGCGAAAGCAUGGGGAGCGAACAGGAUUAGAUACCCUGGUAGUCCAUGCCGUAAACGUUGGGAACUAGAUGUAGGGACCAUUCCACGGUUUCUGUGUCGCAGCUAACGCAUUAAGUUCCCCGCCUGGGGNGACGCGCGAGACAACACAAGAGUAGAGCGNGAGAGCGCGACGACGACGACGAGGAGGAGG